GGUGGGCCCGUGCGAGCGCGCGGCGUGGAAGGGAGCAUGUACUGUUUCCUAGCGUGUAAGGUGAAACGAAUGCACACGACCCCCCGCCCCACGCGCGGAUGUGUCCCCCUCAACCAGCCGGGGUUGCUUCCUCCCUCAGUCCGCGGACGGCGCUGAAGCAGAGAGAAUGGCUUCGAAUUGCCACAACCUGAAGGGGAGAUUCAUCAAGGAAAGGUAACAUACCUGCUAAAGACCUUAAGAAAAGGGAAGUUGAGAACCAAGAAGUCUUUAAAAUAACUUCACUACCGGGUGUCACACAGGCUGGCUUCCCGAGUGCAACUUUAGAGUUUUUAAUAGGUUCCAUAAAGAGCUACGUAACCCACAGUCACCAGUAGAGGGCUCUCCAGAGCUACAGCCCCGAUUUGCCCUCUAGCGGCGAUUCUGAACAGAGUGUGUUUAUGCAGACUUGGGGCCUUCGACUGGCAAAAAAGCAGUUUGAGCAGACAUCUGGAACCAUUAGGUUCAACCAGCCAGGAGAGGGGUUUUCGAAUAGUAGCAGACUGAAGAGAUCCUAUUGCCAGAAUGAGACAUUCUUUCAGAAAAAGAUGGAUCAUUGCUCAUUGAGACAUUUGAGAGAAUCCUCCUUCACUCCUAGUCCCACGUAUCUUGUUUUCCUAUUGGCCAACAGUACUUUAUUUAUCAACC
rnacentral:lncRNA from 1 species